CCCUUAGAUGUUCUGGGCUGCACCCGUGCUACACUGGCAGGUUCAGCGAGCUUCAUGCCCUGAUCUGAAAGGAAUGGGAAAUCUUUUCAAAACCUGCCGUGCUUGGGAUAGAUGUUUGCAAUUAUUCAUCUUCAACGAGGAUUGCCUUGUAAGCGCACGUCAUCAGCGUGCAUUGAAUACGACCCUGUAUUCUGUACACACCGCCCGUCGCUCCUACCGAUCGAAGUUUUCGGUGAGUUGACAGGAGGAUUUUUUUGAAACUGGUUCGCCAGUGGAUUUUAGAUCCAAAUGCCAACGAAUCGAUGGCUUUAGAGGAAGGAGAAGUCGUAACA
rnacentral:rRNA from 1 species